GACUUUUUGCAGCGGCGAUAUAGUAACCAAUGAGGUUUAUUCGAGGUGCGAUUAUUGCUAGUUAAAAACGCAUACUAAAGGCACAAAAUAUCUAACCAGACCAAUGAGGUU
rnacentral:snRNA from 1 species